rnacentral:rRNA from 1 species
ACGCUCGACACCUACGGGGCAGCAGUCGGGAAUAUUGCGCAAUGGAGGAAACUCUGACGCAGUGACGCCGCGUAUAGGAAGAAGGUUUUCGGAUUGUAAACUAUUGUCGUUAGGGAAGAGAAAGGACAGUACCUAAGGAGGAAGCUCCGGCUAACUACGUGCCACAGCCGCGGUAAUCUGAGCGGGCUGGCAAGGC